AUACGUAGGGGGCGAGCGUUGUCCGGAAUGAUUGGGCGUAAAGGGCGCGUAGGCGGCCCGGUAAGUCUGGAGUGAAAGUCCUGCUUUUAAGGUGGGAAUUGCUUUGGAUACUGUCGGGCUUGAGUGCAGGAGAGGUAAGUGGAAUUCCCAGUGUAGCGGUGAAAUGCGUAGAGAUUGGGAGGAACACCAGUGGCGAAGGCGACUUACUGGACUGCAACUGACGCUGAGGCGCGAAAGUGUGGGGAGCAAACAGGAUUAGAUACCCUGGUAGUCCACACUGUAAACGAUGAAUGCUAGGUGUAGGGGGUAUCGACCCCUUCUGUGCCGCAGUUAACACAAUAAGCAUUCCGCCUGGGGAGUACGGCCGCAAGGUUGAAACUCAAAUGAAUUGACGGGG
rnacentral:rRNA from 1 species